UGCAGCAUUUCACCCUGGCUUGUGUGU
rnacentral:piRNA from 1 species